GAUGAACGCUGGCGGUGGGCCUAAUACAUGCAAGUCGAGCGAACACAUAGUGAGCUCGUGCCCCUGACGGUAGCGGCUGACGGGCGAGUAACACGUAGAUAACCUUCUUAUUUUACUGGGGUGAUUUCGUAAAACCGCAGCUACUACUGCAGAAUAUGAUGAACCGCUGGGUUCAAUAGUGAUUGACACUUUUGCCGUCACUUAGAGAUGGAGCCGCGCCGGAUUAGCUAGUUGGUAAGGUAACGGCUUACCAAGGCAACGAUGCGUAGCCGACCUGAGAGGAUGAUCAGCCACACUGGAACUGAGACACGGUCCAGACUCCUACGGGAGGCAGCAGUGGGGAAUCUUGCGCAAUGGGCGAAAGCCUGACCGAGCAACACCGCGUGGGUGAUGAAGGUCUUCGGAUCGUAAAACUCUGUUAUUAGGAAAGAAAAAAAGUGUAAGUAACUAUGCACGUCUUGACGGUACCUAAUCAGAAAGCCACGGCUAACUUCGUG
rnacentral:rRNA from 1 species